rnacentral:rRNA from 1 species
AUUGAACGCUGGCGGCAGGCCUAACACAUGCAAGUCGAACGGUAACAGGAAGCAGCUUGCUGCCUCGCUGACGAGUGGCGGACGGGUGAGUAAUGUCUGGGAAACUGCCUGAUGGAGGGGGAUAACUACUGGAAACGGUAGCUAAUACCGCAUAACGUCGCAAGACCAAAGAGGGGGACCUUCGGGCCUCUUGCCAUCGGAUGUGCCCAGAUGGGAUUAGCUAGUAGGUGGGGUAACGGCUGACCUAGGCGACGAUCACUAGCUGGUCUGAGAGGAUAGCCAGCAACACUGGAACGGAGACACGGUCCAGACUCCUACGGGAGGCAGCAGUGGGGAAGAUUGCACAAUGGGCGCAAGCCUGAUGCAGCCAUGCCGGGUGUAUGAAGAAGGCCUUCGGGUUGUAAAGUACUUUCAGCGGGGAGGAAGACGAUAAGGUUAAUAACCUUGUCGAUUGACGUUACCCGCAGAAGAAGCACCGGCUAACUCCGUGCCAGCCGCCGCGGUAA